rnacentral:rRNA from 1 species
GAUAAACGCUGGCGGCGUGCCUAACACAUGCAAGUCGAACGAUCCCGCAAGGGAGAGUGGCGGAAGGGUGAGUAACACGUGGGAAUCUACCUCCUCGCAGGGAACAACCUCUCGAAAGAGAGGCUAAUACCCAAAAGGGUCAGAAAUGAUCAGAGUCGAAAGGCGUGAGGAGAGGAGCCCGCGGCCCAUCAGCUAGUUGGUGAGGUAAUGGCUUACCAAGGCUACGACGGGUAGGGGAUCUGAGAGGAUGUCCCCCACACUGGAACUGAAACACGGUCCAGACGCCUACGGGUGGCAGCAGUGAGGAAUAUUGGACAAUGGGCGAAAGCCCGAUCCAGCAACGCCGCGUGGAGGAUGAAGGCCUUCGGUCGUAAACUUCUUUAGAGGGAGACGAGAAAGGACGGUAGUCCCUAGAAUAAGCGACGGCGAAACUACGUGCCAGCAGCCGCGGUAAGUCUCGCGUGA